CCUACGGGGGGCAGCAGUGGGGAAUAUUGCGCAAUGGGCGAAAGCCUGACGCAGCGACGCCGCGUGAGGGAUGAAGGUCUUCGGAUCGUAAACCUCUGUCAGCAGGGAAGAACGGUCACUGUGCUAAUCAGCAGUGAAUUGACGGUAUCUGCAAAGGAAGCACCGGCUAACUCCGUGACAGCAGCCGCGGUAAUACGGGGGGUGCGAGCGUUAAUCGGAAUUACUGGGCGUAAAGCGCUCGUAGGCGGUAUGUCAACUCAAGGGUGAAAUCCCCGCGCUCAACGUGGGAACUGCCGUUGAGACUGGCAAACUGGAGUGUGUGAGAGGAUAGGGGAAUUCCAGGUGUAGGAGUGAAAUCCGUAGAUAUCUGGAGGAACAUCAGUGGCGAAGGCGACUAUCUGGCACAUAACUGACGCCGAGGAGCGAAAGCGUGGGUAGCAAACAGGAUUAGAUACCCCUGUAGUC
rnacentral:rRNA from 1 species